rnacentral:rRNA from 1 species
GCGCAGAUAGAUGAGCCGAUGUCGGAUUAGCUAGUUGGAGGGGUAAUGGCCCACCAAGGCGACGAUCCGUAGCUGGUCUGAGAGGAUGAUCAGCCACACUGGGACUGAGACACGGCCCAG